AUGCAGUUGGUUUGCUCCCAAAAGUUUUCAUCUUCUAUCCUUCGGACAGCUCCGACAAGUGACGCCGGAGCUCCUCCGCGCCCGUCAACCUCCGGGUGGUCGUCCAGAUACCGCCGGCACGACGGUCUCGGACACGGCCAUCCGGAGGUCACCCCUGAGCACCGGGCUGGGCACCUUCCAGCCCCUCUGCAUGCCGCACGCGUUCUGGAACGCCGAGUGGAACGCGCUCGGCAGAUUCCGUCGCCGGAGAGCGUUCAUGGCUCCGGGCUUCCCGUCAAGGCGCGACACCACGGGCGCCCAGGAGACUCGUAG
rnacentral:rRNA from 1 species